GUAGCAACAAACAACUAGUGAUCGCAUACAAAUGUGUGUACAUGUAUCAGUAAUCGAUCGAUAAUACGUUAUUGUUCAACCUUGGCAUUCACUCAACACCUUGGACGAAUGCAUUAUCUAGGAAAGUAAAUAAAAUUUGAAGAAAGUGACAUAAAGUGAGUGCUCAUGUUUACAAACGUUUACUACAUUCCAUUGUCUUUUUCUCAAUUCUAUCUGCUUACGUAGCAUAACAGAACGAGUAUAAAGUUUGCAUAUGUACAUAUACUCGAACACACAACUCAAUAUAUUGAUCUAUGUGCAUACAUAUGUACUUAUCACAGAGUUUGUUGUUUUGCCUACUUAUUAAAGGUUACACGAUAAUCAUAGCGAAAAUCGAAUGCAAAUGGUCAUAUUUACAAAAACAACUUAUUAUGAGGGAGUAAAAGGGUAUUUGUUCUGCAUGAUGUUGGGAUCGAGUGGUGGUCGUGAUGCGAAUUUACGCUGACUCAUCAUGGAUUGAUUUGCUCGUAUGGCAAAUAAUUUUAAAAUUUCAGAAAGGGACAAAUUACGCAGUUUUGAAUGAAAAGAUUGCAUCACAGAAAGAAAAGGAACAAUCAACUAGGACACAUUCUAGGAAAGAGAAAGCUAUUUGUCACAAAAUUUGCGUCACUCUAAUCGUGCUAUAUUUAGGAGGGGAUUGAUUUCAUGAUGAGGUAGCACUUGACACGCUAAUUAAAUCUGCCUCUAAUCAUGAUCCUACUGCUGUGUUAAUACGAUUCAAACCAAUUCAGAAAUGCAAAGAAUGAGGUGUUGGGACCCGAUGCACUAUUAUUUACUUCCGUUAUACAUAAAAUAGUUUUUCCUAUUUUUUGCAACUUCCCCAAGGGAAGUAGCUGCUUCUUGUCACCCGUUGGGAAUUGCAGGCGACGUUACAAGAAGUUGCAAGCUUAUAUAAAAGCAAAGUUGCUGAAGGAAUUUUUAGUAAUCAGUUGUUGGACACUGUCAAAAUAGUCCAAGUGUUUUGAUUCCGGAAAUCGGGAAUACUCUCAAGAGCAAUAUGAAGCUAUUGAUCGUAGCUGUGGUAUUUCUCUCGUCCUGCCACCUUCACAGUGAGGCGUCCAAGGGAAAAGGAAGCAAAGUCAUCAUUGUGAACACGUCGUACAAUGGGGGCAAAGGAGGGCAGGGCGGAUGGGGAGGUCAAGGUAUGAGCCUGAGAAAAUUAGUGUACAACAUGUGCCUCGGACAUUUACUUCAGGCUAAUAGGGCAUGCAAUGCCCUGGACAUGGGAAUAAGUGAUAUUCAGGAUAUGAUUUAAUUACGUAUUUGUUCUUACAGGGGGAU